rnacentral:rRNA from 1 species
GACGAACGCUGGCGGCGUGCUUAACACAUGCAAGUCGAACGGAAAGGCCCUGCUUUUGUGGGUUGCUCGAGUGGCGAACGGGUUAGUAACACGUGAGUAACCUGCCCUUUACUUUGGGAUAACUUCAGGAAACUGGGGCUAAUACCGGAUAGGAGCUCCUGCUGCAUGGUGUGGGUUGGAACGUUUCGGCGGUUGGGGAUGGACUCGCGGCUUAUCAGCUUGUUGGUGGGGUAGUGGCUUACCAAGGCUUUGACGGGUAGCCGGCCUGAGAGGGUGACCGGAAACAUUGGGACUGAGAUACGGCCCAGACUCCUACGGGAGGCAGCAGUGGGGAAUAUUGCAAAAUGGGCGGAAGCCUGAUGCAGCAACGCCGCGUGCGGGAUGACGGCCUUCGGGUUGUAAACCGCUUUCGCCUGUGACGAAGCGUGAGUGACGGUAAUGGGUAAAGAAGCACCGGCUAACUACGUG